AUGCUGGGAUUGGACGUGUGUGAGUUUGGGGGUCAGGUGCUGGAGCUGCUGUGGCUAACUAUGUGCUACAGAGGGCUGAUUGCUGAAAAGAAUGAGUUGCCCAUUGAGGAGGAAGAAGAUGAGCGAAACCUCAACUACAAUCCUCCAGCUCAGAAGUCCCUGCAGGAGAUUCAAGAACUGGACAAAGAUGAUGAAAGUCUGGUGAAGUACAAGCAGACCCUGCUGGGGCCAGAAGCAAUGAUGGCAGAUAUCGCUGGUCCUAACGUCAAGGUGACCAGACUGACCCUGUUGUGCGAUGAUGCUCCUGAACCAAUUACCAUGGACCUGAGAGGUGACCUGAGCGCUCUGAAGGAGAAGAGCUUCUCCUUACAGGAGGGAGCAAAAUACAGACUAAAGAUACACUUCAAGGUGAACAGAGAAAUUGUUUCUGGCCUGAAAUACCGUCAAGUGACCUACAGAAAAGGAUUAAGAAUGAAUAAGGUGGUGUACAUGGUGGGAAGUUACGGCCCACGUGCAGAGGAGCAGGAGUUUCUAUGCCCGAUUGAUGAGGCACCUAAAGGCAUUAUGACUCGUGGCCAGUAUCAGAUCAAGUCCUGCUUCACUGACGAUGACAAGAACGUCUACUCAUCCUGGGAGUGGAUCCUCAACAUCAGCAAGGACUGGAAUUAACAGAUUGGGAGAGCGUCUGUGUGUGCGAGAGAAAUUAUUCUCCUCUCUCUCCUUCUUUCACAUCUAUUCUUCAUCCCCUCUCAUCUUUCUCAUCUUCUUCUGCAUCCUGUGAAAGCCACCCAGCAGUGGCCAAGACAAAAAGUUCCCUACUUCUCCUCUUUCUCCUUCUUCUCUUCCAACUUGUCCUUCCUCGUCUCUUUAAUGCACUACACACAGGCCUCCAGAAACCCAUGAGUGACUUUUAGAAAAGAGAACGUUCUCUUUCUUUGCUAUUGUCCAGAGUUAACCGUAUGCUGAAAUUUCCCUUUCCAAUUAUUUUAAGUUCCUUCCAUCUUUUCUUCCUCAUGGUGUUGUGAAAGGGUAAUGAGGAAAGGGUGUUUAAUCUGUUCAAGGCACAAAUCCAAUAAAAUGCAAAAAUGACAAAAUAAUUUUUACAGCUGAAGUCAUACAAACUGCAGAGGCUGCUGCUGCUGCAUUUGUUGUUUUAAAAAGUACAGGGAGAGACAAAGGUGCAGAUGAGAGGGGCAGGUGCAUGCUGGGGAUGUAAAAACAGGAAGUUACUUAUUGCUUGGCACAUUCACAGAUGCAGUGAACUCCUGCAGCAGGGAUGGGUCAUUAAUUAAUUUAGCACCAGAUUACCUGAAAAAUCGCAAUUAGGGUCACCUAUGCUUCAGGAAUACAUUUAUCUCUCUUUUCUGCCACAGAUGUUUGAGAAGGUAAAAUUGUUACAUUGUUAAUUUGCUGGCUGUCAUAUGUUCUACAAGCAGAAUAAAUGGCUGCCAGGUGGUGUUGAACUGCUUAGUGUCCCCUUCAACUGUGUAUCCAAUCUUCUCUAGAUGAAUGUGAUAGGGAGACAUCUGUGGAGCCACCUCGAACAGUGACAUUAAUGAGGAUGCUUCUAUUGUUUUCCUACAUAUGCUAGAAAGGGCACCAAAGAUGGAUAUCCAGAAGUUUUAGAGUGCAAGAUAUGACUAAAACAUGUGCAGCAAAGUUCAGGGAGCAAGUCUACAUCAGUCGCAGGUUAGAUUGAAAUGAACACAGAGUGUCUAAAACAGACUGAGGAAGGUGGACAUAGCAGAAAGCAACAAACAGAGGUCACAAAAGCCCUAACUUGUUGAAAUCUAAUCUGUAGAAAUGGGACUUGUGAAGAUUAAAUUUAUACGAUAACUGCUCAAAGGAAGCAAACUUAUUUUCAAAGUUGAGAUUAUAAAAGCUACAUACACUAUUCUUUAACCAGACAUCAAAAGCAUCGUCCAUUACUGAUGGGGCAAAAAUGUGAUUUUUCUUGCCACUAGUGCUGCAUGGGAGGGGUCAGUGAGAUAUAUGCUGUGAGAUAAAGACCCUACAGUAUUGAAGAGAAAAGUCCCUUUUAACAGGUAAAAAUCUCUGGCAGAACCAGGCUCAGGGAGGCGCUGCCUCGGCCAUUUGGGGGAUAGGGGAAAGGCCAGUUGCAAAAGAAAGAACACCACAUAUUUAACAUCACCCUUAAAUGUCUGUAAUAACCUUGCAGAGAUGUAAUUUGGCGCCAUUUGUGGUAAACAAAUGUGGGUACUUUGUAUCAAAGUUUAAGAACUCUAGAUCAGAAAUUCAGUGAUUUUUCAGGUACUGAAGCAAAAAGUGUUACAACCAUACCUGCUUCCCCCAAAAGAGUAAAUGAAAUUCUGCCUCUGAACUCUGAGCUGAACAUCGGCAUCAUACGCUUGUUUAAAAACCCACAGGGCAUUAUUUGAAUUGAGAGACUUUGACAGCUCCAGGAUUAGGAUGAAAGAAAAAUGAUAGACUUUACUUAGAUGCAUUUAGCUAGUUUAGAUUCAUUGACACUGUCUUUGCAGUCUUUCUUAGCUUUGUUAGGCGCAGCAUAUCAGUUUAUUUUGUAUCACAUGGUGUGAUUAAGGAAAAAGAUUCCACAAUGUUCAUCUGUGACAUUUUCUCCUAUGGUGAAAACAUUUGAGAUUUUUUCCAAUGGUUGUUCUUAAUGUUUCCUGUUUUUGAUCACAGUAACUUUCCACAUAUUCUCUCUUCCCUGCAUAAUGAUACAUCAUCUCUCCUCUAAGCAGUUAUACAAUGACUAAAAUGAGACAAACUUUGUUUUUCAUAAAUAUGCUGUGCUUUAAUAUUUGUGUUUGCUUUCAAAGCAAACAGUUCUCGUGAGACUUUGUGGAGCUUUUUUGAAGGAGCAGACAAUGAACAACUGAAACUGAACUGUGUAUAUUGUAGAAAGAGAUGCAUGUAAGUCCUUAAGGAUUUGAUACUCUUAUAAAAAAAAAAAAGAACUAAAUUAACCCUUUCUAAACCUCUCUCUCUUAUACCAAGGACAUAAAAUGUGAAUAAAAUUCAGCUUUCAAGCUAGAAGAUAAGAGCAGUAUAUCAAGGGAUAAACUGGUGUCCCUUAAAAAAUACAUACUAUCAUUAUUGUGUCAAGUCUUUGGAUAUGAUAUUUUCAUUGUAGCUGAACAUAUUGAACUCUGAAAUACCAUUUGAGUGAGUCAUCGUGGUCUAAGACUAACUGUAAAUGUUGGCUUGUUGGGUGUUGCAUGGUUUAGCAAGAUUCUCUUUCUUUUUUAAAGACUUAAAGAUGUGAUGAUAAAAAGAAGAAAAAAAAGUAGAGAUGUGAUAUCCAGAUGUCAGUGCUGGCCGUAUACUGCAGAUACAGUAUUCACAGAAGCCAUUUGCAAGGCAUGGAUGGCAGGGAGAGAAAAAAAAAAAAGAGCUGUCUGGAUCUCAUGCCCCAGCCUGUAACAAU